rnacentral:rRNA from 1 species
UACGGAGGGUGCGAGCGUUGUCCGGAAUCACUGGGCGUAAAGGGCGCGUAGGCGGCGCGGGUAGUCAUCGGUGAAAGUUCAGGGCUCAACUCUGAAUCGGCCGGUGAUACUCCCGUGCUCGAGCACUGUAGAGGCGGGUGGAAUUCCGGGUGUAGCGGUGGAAUGCGUAGAGAUCCGGAAGAACACCGGUGGCGAAGGCGGCCUGCUGGGCAGUAGCUGACGCUGAUGCGCGACAGCGUGGGGAGCAAACGGG